UACAGAGGUCUCAAGCGUUGUUCGGAUUCAUUGGGCGUAAAGGGUGCGUAGGCGGCGCGGUAAGUCGGGUGUGAAAUCUCGGGGCUUAACUUCGAAACUGCAUUCGAUACUGCCGUGCUUGAGGACUGGAGAGGAGACUGGAAUUUACGGUGUAGCGGUGAAAUGCGUAGAUAUCGUAAGGAAGACCAGUGGCGAAGGCGGGUCUCUGGUCAGUUCCUGACGCUGAGGCACGAAGGCCAGGGGAGCAAACGGG
rnacentral:rRNA from 1 species